rnacentral:lncRNA from 1 species
ACAUGAGGCCUGGGAAAGAUACAGGUGGAUAUUAUUCACUCUGGUCCUACAAGUAGCUAUGCUUCGAACACUUGCCCAUCAGUGCCAAGGGUAUUGAUUAGCCUAUCCGGGACAAAGAGAGAAGAAAGAGUGAGACACCACCACUAAAAGGGCUGCAGGUGGAUACCGCCUCCCUCAAGCUGGAAAAAGAUUAGAAAGAUGGUGAAAACAGGAAGACCUUCCUCAUCCCACUAUCAGGAAGAUGAGGAAAGAGAUCAGGAGGAUCACAGGUGGAGAGGAGAAGAGGACCAUGCUCGAUCCUCUCUGGUAAUAGGCCUGAGAUUCCCUCUCGUACUGGGUGAUACACAUCUGCUCAACCACGCGCUCCAUCAUCUUAACGUCGGUCUCGGUGAAGUUCUCCCCCUUGGUGGUUGUGGUGACCGUGUGCUGCUUGAUCGUGAUAUUGACGCAGUCGUGCACAAAGUUGUUCUGGCUGCUGUACUGAUCCAUGGGCCUGUAGUACACUUGGUUGGGGUAACGGUGCAUGUUUUCACGAUAGUAACGGUCCUCAUAGUCACUGCCAAAAUGUAUGAUGGGCCUGCUCAUGGCACUUCCCAGCAUGUAGCCGCCAAGGCCCCCCACCACUGCCCCAGCUGCUGCAGCACCAGCCAUGUGCUUCAUGUUGGUUUUUGGCUUACUCGGCUUGUUCCACUGACUGUGGGUGCCACCUCCUUGACCCCAGCCACCACCAUGAGGCUGUCCCCAGCCACCACCAUGGGGCUGCCCCCAGCCACCACCAUGAGGCUGCCCCCAGCCACCACCAUGAGGCUGCCCCCAGCCACCACCGCCCUGAGGUGGGUAGCGGUUGCCUCCAGGGCUGCCCUGCCCCGGGUAUCGGCUGCCCCCAGUGUUCCAUCCUCCAGGCUUCGGGCGCUUCUUGCAGAGGCCCAGGUCACUCCAUGUGGCCACAAAGAGAACUAGCAUCCAGCAGCCAAGGUUUGCCAUGAUGACU